rnacentral:rRNA from 1 species
UGGGGAAUAUUGGACAAUGGGCGGAAGCCUUAUCCAGCCAUGCCGCGUGUGUGAAGAAGGCCUUUUGGUUGUAAAGCACUUUAAGCGAGGAGGAGGCUACUUGGAUUAAUACUCUAGGAUAGUGGACGUUACUCGCAGAAUAAGCACCGGCUAACUCUGUGCCAGCAGCCGCGGUAAUACAGAGGGUGCGAGCGUUAAUCGGAUUUACUGGGCGUAAAGCGUGCGUAGGCGGCUUCUUAAGUCGGAUGUGAAAUCCCUGAGCUUAACUUAGGAAUUGCAUUCGAUACUGGGAAGCUAGAGUAUGGGAGAGGAUGGUAGAAUUCCAGGUGUAGCGGUGAAAUGCGUAGAGAUCUGGAGGAAUACCGAUGGCGAAGGCAGCCAUCUGGCCUAAUACUGACGCUGAGGUACGAAAGCAUGGGGAGCAAACAGG